GGCAGCGGGGGUGCAGGCUUGCCUGCGCCUGCCGGCGACCGGCGCACGGGUGAGUAACACGUAUGGAACCUGCCCGCCACAGGGGGAUAACCCGGGGAAACCCGGCCUAAUACCCCAUGCCGUCCGGACCGGGCAUCCGGUCCGGGCGAAAGGAGGAAUCCGGUGGCGGCUGGGCAUGCGGCGCAUUAGCUUGACGGCGGGGUAACGGCCCACCGUGGCGACGAUGCGUAGGGGUUCUGAGAGGAAGGCCCCCCACACUGGAACUGAGACACGGUCCAGACUCCUACGGGAGGCAGCAGUGAGGAAUAUUGGUCAAUGGGCGGAAGCCUGAACCAGCCAAGUCGCGUGAGGGAAUAAGGCCCUACGGGUCGUAAACCUCUUUUGCCGGGGAGCAAGGGCCGGGACGCGUCCCGGCCCGGAGAGUACCCGGAGAAAAAGCAUCGGCUAACUCCGUGCCAGCAGCCGCGGUAAUACGGAGGAUGCGAGCGUUAUCCGGAUUUAUUGGGUUUAAAGGGUGCGUAGGCGGGCUUUUAAGUCAGCGGUAAAAAUUCGGGGCUCAACCCCGUCCGGCCGUUGAAACUGGGGGCCUUGAGUGGGCGAGAAGAAGGCGGAAUGCGUGGUGUAGCGGUGAAAUGCAUAGAUAUCACGCAAAACCCCGAUUGCGAAGGCAGCCUUCCGGCGCCCUACUGACGCUGAGGCACGAAAGUGCGGGGAUCGAACAGGAUUAGAUACCCUGGUAGUCCG
rnacentral:rRNA from 1 species